rnacentral:tRNA from 1 species
GCCGUGUUCGUCUAGUCUGGCCUAGGACGUGGCGUUCUCAACGCUAAAACACCGGUUCGAAUCCGGUACACGGCA